CCUACGGGUCGCAGCAGUAGGGAAUCUUCGGCAAUGGACGAAAGUCUGACCGAGCAACGCCGCGUGAGUGAAGAAGGUUUUCGGAUCGUAAAACUCUGUUGUUAGAGAAGAACAAGGACGUUAGUAACUGAACGUCCCCUGACGGUAUCUAACCAGAAAGCCACGACCUACUACGUGCCAGCAGCCGCGGUAAUACGUAGGUGGCAAGCGUUGUCCGGAUUUAUUGGGCGUAGAGCGAGCGCAGGCGGUUUCUUAAGUCUGAUGUGAAAGCCCCCGGCUCAACCGGGGAGGGUCAUUGGAAACUGGGAGACCUGAGUACAGAAGAGGAGAGUGGAAUUCCAUGUGUAGCGGUGAAAUGCGUAGAUAUAUGGAGGAACACCAGUGGCGAAGGCGGCUCUCUGGUCUGUAACUGACGCUGAGGCUCGAAAGCGUGGGGAGCAAACAGGAUUAGAUACCCGAGUAGUC
rnacentral:rRNA from 1 species